rnacentral:rRNA from 1 species
ACUCCUACGGGAGGCAGCAGUGGGGAAUAUUGCACAAUGGGCGCAAGCCUGAUGCAGCCAUGCCGCGUGUAUGAAGAAGGCCUUCGGGUUGUAAAGUACUUUCAGCGGGGAGGAAGGCAAUACGGUUAAUAACCGUGUUGAUUGACGUUACCCGCAGAAGAAGCACCGGCUAACUCCGUGCCAGCAGCCGCGGUAAUACGGAGGGUGCAAGCGUUAAUCGGAAUUACUGGGCGUAAAGCGCACGCAGGCGGUCUGUCAAGUCGGAUGUGAAAUCCCCGGGCUCAACCUGGGAACUGCAUUCGAAACUGGCAGGCUUGAGUCUUGUAGAGGGGGGUAGAAUUCCAGGUGUAGCGGUGAAAUGCGUAGAGAUCUGGAGGAAUACCGGUGGCGAAGGCGGCCCCCUGGACAAAGACUGACGCUCAGGUGCGAAAGCGUGGGGAGCAAACAGGAUUAGAAACCCCAGUAGUCCCAU